ensembl:lncRNA
GUUGCGUCUUGUAAAGGGGCAUUUUUCUGGAUCAGACCGGUGUUCAGCAAAUCACAUUUUGGGUAUACAAUGACGGAUUUAAUCGGGAAAAAGACCCAAUUGUGAUGUUUAUGUGACAUAUAGGAGUGCCAAGAAAGAAGCUCGUCAAAGCUGGGACCCUUUGGAUGACAAAUCAGAGGAAGAUUUUCAAAAAGUAAGUGAAUAUUUAAUUGCUAUUUGUGAAUUUAUGAAACCUGUGCCGGUGGAAAAAUAUUUUGAUGUGGGGAGCCGUCCUCAAACAAUCGCAUGGCAUGCUUUUGCUGUAAAGCCUACUGUAAAUCAGACAGUGCAGUUAGAUUAACAAGAAUUUAAGCUUUUAACCGAUAUAAGACACUUGUAUGUACCUAAAUGUUUAAUAUCCAUAAUUUUUAUGAUUAUUUAUUUGAAUUGCUUUGGUCAAUGAUGUGCUUCGGGACAUGCUAAACCAGUUUGUGUUUGUGUACCUUGACAACAUCCUGUUUUUUUCCCAAUCUGCACAAGACCAUGUUCUUUAUGUCAGACAGGUCCUUCAGCGCCUCCUGGAGAACCAACUGCUCGUGAAAGCCGAGAAGUGUGCGUUCUACUAUCACCUUUCUGGGAUAUUUGCUGAGGACAAUGUUCAGAUGGUUCCUGGAAAGGUGAAAGCAGUGGUGGAUUGACCUCAACCAAUGUCCAGGGUGCCGUUGCAACUGUUUCUUGGUUUUGCAAACUUCUACUGCCAUUUCAUUCGGGACUACAGCACCCUGGCAGCCCCCCUCUCGGCACUCACCUCUCCCAAGGUACCAUUCAAAUGGUUUCCAGCUGUCGACAAAGCCUUUGUGGACCUGAAGCAUCAGUUCACAACAGCAUCCAUCCUCAUCCAUCCUGACCGCUUGCGUCAAUUUGUGGUGGAAGUGGAUGCUUCGGAUGUUGGAGUGGGGGCCAUCCCAGCGAUCUGCCCAGGACCAGAAGCUUCAUCUCUAUGCCUUCCAGUCCCAUCGUCUCAAUCCUGCUGAAAGGAACUACGAUGUUGGCAACCGAGAACUCCUGGCAGUGAAGAUGGUGUUGGAAGAGGGGUGGCACUGGCUGGAAGGAGCAGAACAGCCAUUACUGGUCUGGACUGACCAUAAAAACCUGGAAUAUCUCCAUACAGCCAAGCGCCUCAACUCCAGGCAGGCCCGGUGGGCCCUCCUGUUCACCAGAUUUAACUUCACCAUCUCCUACCGCCCAGGGUCAAAGAAUGUGAAGCCUGAUGCCCUCUCCCGCCUAUACAGUUCCUCUGCCACACCCUCGACCUCUGAAACCAUUCUCUCUACCUCAUGCCUUACUGCCAGUGUGGAUUGGGAUAUUGAGAACCUGGUCCACAAGGCAAAAUGCUCCCAGCCUGGACCUGAAGGGGGCCCGGGCUAACCGUCUGUUUGUCCCUAAUCCAGUCCGGUCCCCGGUCCUGGAAUGGGCUCAUUCCUCCAGGCUGACCUGUCAUCCAGGGUCCCGUUGAGGCCAAUCCAUCUUCCUUCGACAAUGUUUCUGGGGGCCCACAAGGGUCCCUGACGUCUCUGCCUUCGUCACUGCAUGCACUGUGUGUGCUCAAACCAAGACUCCACAGCAAGCUCCUUCUGACCUCCUGCAGCCACUACCGGUUCCUCAUUGUCCCUGGUCUCAUAUCUCUGGACUUUGUCACUGGACUCCCUCCGUCUGAUGGCAACACUGUCAUUCUGACCGUAGUCGACCGGUUCUCCAAGGCCACCCAUUUCAUCCCUCUCCCCAAACUACCUUCUGCCAAGGAGAUGGCCCAGCUUAUGCCUUCAGUUCUGGAAGGCUUUCUGCACCCUUAUUGGGUUGUCAGCCAGCCUUUCAUCCGGAUUCCAUCCCCAACCAAGACCAUCCCCAACCAAGACCUGAGGACCACCUUAAGUUGCCUGGUCUCAACCAACCCCACUACCUGGAGCCAUCAACUGAUCUGGGUGGAGUAUGCCCGGAACACUCUUCCAAGUUUUGCCACGGGAUUCUCCCCUUUCGAGUGCUCCAUGGGAUAUCAGCCUCCACUCUUCACUGAGCAGGAGGUCAGCGUACCCUCGGCCCAGAUGUUUGUCCACCGCUGUCGACGUACCUGUAGAAGAGCCAGGGCGGCUAUUCUCAAGACCAACUCCAGCUAUUGUCGCUGGACCCCAGCUCCCCGCUACCACAUUAGGCAGAGUAUAUGGCUGUCCACAGGGGACCUGCCCCUCUGGGUAGAGUCCCGCAAACUGUUCCUCCAUUUUAUUGGUCCUUUUCUCCAGAGUUCCACUGCUGUCCCCCUCUUGUUACCCCGCACCCUCCGUAUUCACCCUACGUUCCAUGUGUCUAGAAUUAAACCCAUGUCUCUCAGUUCUUUCUGUCCCCAGGCACCCCCCCCCCGUGUCAUUGAUGGCCAUCCGGCAUACACGGUGAGACGUCUGCUGGGUGUUCAACCAUGGGGCAGGGGUUUCCAGUACGUGGUUGACUGGGGGGGUUAUGGCCCGGGGGAGAGGUACUGGGUUCCUGCUAGAGACAUCCUGGAUCCAGCCCUCAUCGCCAACUUCCACCGCUGACACCCCGGUCAACCAGAGUUACACCCUCCACCUGCCGAUGGACUGACAACCACUCACCAACAGGGCCUCUUUUCCCCGCAAGUGAAUCAUGUCUGGAAGGCAAAGCGCAUACUGUAAAUACCAGACCAUGACAAUGUUCUCAGUGACUGAGGAGACAGACGUUCGUUCAGUUGUAUAAUCUUAAGAUCGAGGUUGAGUUGUCCCUGACAUGACAACGGAUGCUCUGGCUUUCCAUAUGGACUGUAAUGCUGCCUAGAUACAUGUUUUAAUAGUGCUAUUGACCUUGCAAAGAAGUGCACAGCAGAUGUACAGGAACAGAAAGCACAGAGAUGCCAAAUUGAUCUGAACAGUUGAAUGAAGCACGGAGAAAUACCGCACACCAUAUUCCCUUGAUAGCAACCACUUCUCUCUCUCUCUCUCUCUUAGCCGCAAGUCAGAUUAGAGUUGCCAAGGAUGUGAAAAGUCAGCAAGUACAAUUCAAGCAAAAUAAAAAUGGUGAAAAUCGGAUUAUACUUUUCUUCAACCCUUCAUUAGCCUUCAUAACACUGUCAUAAUGGUGACAUAAUGGUGACAUGACAGACACAUGGGUCAUCUCUGCAGAGGCUGGCAGUAUGGGACACUCACUCACAAGCUUUGCAAAGGGCCCUGAAUGCAAGAUGUGUGUGAGUGAGUUGAACAAGUUGCAACAUAGAUUUUUAAAUGAGUUGAAAGAGUAGACGCCAAUAAAAGCAAUAUUUUAAAUUGGAUCAUAUCAAUGGUGGUAUAUUCCAAGAAGUCCUCCUACAGUAUAUCUUCCAGAACCGCUGGCUUGUUUUAAACUUGGUUUGACACAAGUGGAAUAGUAUGAAGCACAUGUUUCAAGUUUUAGCAUGUCAGGAUUGACCAGAGAGAACUAACGCCACAUAAAAACUGAUCGUUGAUUAGGGUCAUAAGGGAAAGAAACGUAUGAGCUAUGAUGAAAGCCAGAUGAAUGUCUUGCGAAAUAAGUCAAUUGUUGUUUUGACACUGAACCACGCUCAUAAACACUUGUAUCUCUGUUUCAUGUACAGUACAACAGCCUAACCUAUACACAAGCAGUGUCCCUUGCACACAGAUAGUUUUAUAGACUAGUUUGCAUGAACAAGGGACCAUUUUUGCUAACUCUUACCUCUGUGUGUAGCAUAGAACGAACAACCUUUCCCCUGGUUUCUACGUUUCCAUAUCUAAAGAUUUCAGCGAAAUGGCACUCUAGAAAUGGCACAGAUGCACAAUCGAGAGCAUCCUGGCGGGCUGUAUCACCGCCUGGUACGGCAACUGCUCCGCCCACAACGCAUCACCGGGGGCAAACUACCUGCCCUCCAGGACACCUACACCACCCGAUGUUACAGGAAGGCCAUAAAGAUCAUCAAGGACAUCAACCACCCGAGCCACUGCCUGUUCACCCCGCUAUCAUCCAGAAGGCGAGGUCAGUACAGGUGCAUCAAAGCUGGGACCGAGAG